rnacentral:rRNA from 1 species
GACUCUCGGCUACGGAUAUCUAGGCUCUAGCAUCUAUCAAGAAUGUAGCAAACUGCGAUACUUGGUGUGAAUUGCAGAAUCCCGUGAACCAUCGAGUCUUUGAACGCAAGUUGCGCCUGAAGCCACUAGGCUGAGGGCACGUCUGCCUGGGCGUCAC